CUGUAACCUGUGAACUUCCUCGCGUGAAUUAGGAUAAAAAGUACGUUUUAGUUGAAGUCCAUCGCCGGAGUAAUAGCUUUGCGUACUUACAAUUCACUUAGCAUUUAAUCUUGAAAACUUAAUUAGUUAUAAGAUACCUAGCCAUAGUUAAGAUUGCAGUAUUUAUUUAAGAAUCAUUUUUACUAUAUCUAUGUUUAUAACUUUAACUUUUUUUUUAUAUAAAAAAAAUAUUAUAAAAAUAUAACAGUAAAAUAAUG